AACUUUGCACAGUGUUAGUAUUGUAGUCAAUGAGGUUUAUCUGAGGCACGAUUAUUGCUAGUUGAAGAUAAAAAUCUUAGGGGGGAACAAAACCAUAUUGGGAUUUUAAAAACCUAUAUCGCUGG
rnacentral:snRNA from 1 species